rnacentral:rRNA from 1 species
ACGCUGGCGGCGUGCCUAACACAUGCAAGUCGAGCGGAGUUUAUAGAUGCUUGCAUCUAUAAACUUAGCGGCGGACGGGUGAGUAACGCGUGGGAAACCUGCCUUGUAGAGGGGGAUAGCCUCGGGAAACCGGGAUUAAUACCCCAUAACACUCUAAUAUCGCAUGAUAAAAGAGUCAAAACUCCGGUGCUACAAGAUGGUCCCGCGUCCCAUUAGCUAGUUGGUGAGAUAACAGCUCACCAAGGCGACGAUGGGUAGCCGACCUGAGAGGGUGAUCGGCCACACUGGGACUGAGACACGGCCCAGACUCCUACGGGAGGCAGCAGUGGGGAAUAUUGCGCAAUGGGGGAAACCCUGACGCAGCAACGCCGCGUGAGUGAAGAAGGCCUUCGGGUCGUAAAACUCUGUCUGGAGGGAUGAAUAAUGACAGUACCUCCGGAGGAAGCCCCGGCUAACUACGUGCCAGCAGCCGCGGUAAUACGUAGGGGGCAAGCGUUGUCCGGAUUUACUGGGCGUAAAGGGCGCGUAGGCGGCAAGCUAAGUCAGAUGUGAAAGUCCACGGCUCAACCGUGGAAUUGCAUUUGAAACUGGUUUGCUUGAGUGCAGGAGAGGAGAGCGGAAUUCCUAGUGUAGCGGUGAAAUGCGUAGAUAUUAGGAAGAACACCAGUGGCGAAGGCGGCUCUCUGGACUGUAACUGACGCUGAGGCGCGAAAGCGUGGGUAGCGAACAGGAUUAGAUACCCUGGUAGUCCACGCCGUAAACGAUGAGUGCUAGGUGUCAGGGGGUUUCCGCCCCUUGGUGCUGGAGUUAACGCAUUAAGCACUCCGCCUGGGGAGUACGGCCGCAAGGCUGAAACUCAAAAGAAUUGACGGGGGCCC